GACGAACGCUGGCGGCGUGCUUAACACAUGCAAGUCGAACGGAAAGGCCCUGCUUUUGUGGGGUGCUCGAGUGGCGAACGGGUGAGUAACACGUGAGUAACCUGCCCUUGACUUUGGGAUAACUUCAGGAAACUGGGGCUAAUACCGGAUAGGAGCUCCUGCUGCAAGGUGGGGGUUGGAAAGUUUCGGCGGUUGGGGAUGGACUCGCGGCGUAUCAGCUUGUUGGUGGGGUAGUGGCUUACCAAGGCUUUGACGGGUAGCCGGCCUGAGAGGGUGACCGGCCACAUUGGGACUGAGAUACGGCCCAGACUCCUACGGGAGGCAGCAGUGGGGAAUAUUGCACAAUGGGCGGAAGCCUGAUGCAGCAACGCCGCGUGCGGGAUGACGGCCUUCGGGUUGUAAACCGCUUUCGCCUGUGACGAAGCGUGAGUGACGGUAAUGGGUAAAGAAGCACCGGGUAACUACGUG
rnacentral:rRNA from 1 species